rnacentral:rRNA from 1 species
AUUGAACGCUGGCGGCAGGCCUAACACAUGCAAGUCGAGCGAGCGGCGGACGGGUGAGUAAUGUAUGGGAAACUGCCCGAUGGAGGGGGAGAAAUCCUGGAAACGGUGGCUAAUACCGCAUACUGACAGAUGGACCCAGAUGGGAUUAGCUAGGAGGUAAGGUAACGGCUUACCUAGGCGACAAUCCCUAGCUGGUCUGAGAGGAUGAUCAGCCACACUGGGACUGAGACACGGUCCAGACUCCUACGGGAGGCAGCAGUGGGGAAUAUUGCACAAUGGGCGCAAGCCUGAUGCAGCCAUGCCGCGUGUAUGAAGAAGGCCAUCGGGUUGUAAAGUACUUUCAGUCGGGAGGCGUUACCGACAGAAGAAGCACCGGCUAACUCCGUGCCAGCAGCCGCGGUAAUUC